GGGAUUGUAUAAGUUUUUCUUCACUAAAAAAAACUUUCUUAAUGCUCAUCAAGGGCUUCUUUUUUUUCUUCUUCCUUAUUUAAAUUCAGCUUUUGAGCUUUCAUCCUCAACAAGCUCCACCUUAAAUUUCACUCUUUGACCGUCAUAAAGUGUCCUGAUUGAUCUAAGCCUAAAUUAGCUCAUUCAUUUCCCAAUUUUUUCCUCUUUCCCUGAUCAUUCAACAUUGAAAAAACCAUUGAAGGAUUUAAAAAACCCACCAAAAGCAUUCUGCUUCCUCUUCCUUCUUUGAAAAAACCAUUCUGCUUGUUUUUCCUUCUUUGAAAAAACCCACCAAAAGCAUUGAAGGAGUCGAACUUGACAACAAAUCGAAUACUCCUACACCCACCAAAAACUCACCAAACACUUGAAUGAUUGAAUCUGAACACUGCUGUGACAGGACAUCAAACAAUAAAAUUUCCUGAUGAGAUCCAAGAAUUAUGAUUAUUUUCAUGAAUUAGCUCAUUUUGGUGUUAAAAUCAGUGUAUUUAUUGUUUGGACCAGUAUGGUGUAAAACUUAGAACAAGAAGCCAGAGAUUGUUUUGUAGGUGAAUAUCCGAUUUUGUUGAAAUCGUUGAUGAAACCUAUGACUUGGUUCGUGGAAGUUGUACGUGUCUUAAAAUAUUCAAGAAGUUAGAUAAGUGCUUAGGAAGUUAAAAGUUGACAGACGGUCUACUGUUCCUAAAAUGAAUAAUCUAACAGAAGUUGAAGCUGAAGACAGUACACUGUUCCCACGUUGCAGGUCUGGAGAGAAACAUCGGCUGGAAAAUUGCGAAUUAAUUAUUUUCUGUUUUUAAGUUGAUGUAACGGUUAAAAAUUAAUUUAAUUGCUUAAUUAAUUAAUAAAUUGGUUGGCAAAACUAAUUUUAGGCUAUCUAAAAAUAGCCUAAGACUUUUUCUUUCUUAAGAUUAAGAUCUCCUAUUUUUUAGGAUCUUGUGUUUUUAACUCCUAUGCUAUUUUUAGCUUAAGGAAACUGAUUUUCUCUCUGAGCAAAUGACAGUCGGUCAUUUAUUUUUUGGCAUUUCCACUACCAUUUGUUUUGAGAACGUGGAUGAUAGUGGGAGGUGUGUCUGAGGUAACUGCUGGCUGUUCCCACUAUAAAUAGGAGGAACUUUGCUCAAACCGAUAUCUAUCCAAGAGUGUCCAUUUAAGGGAGAUCAUUUAAGAAAAAUAUUUUCUGUUUUUAAAUGCCAAUUAAUUUAUUAUAUUUUUCUUAAGUAAUUAUUUUAAUUUUUAAUCUUCUUAAGAAUUGGCCUUGUAAGGGUAAUUGAGUGUUUUGUUGUAACUAGACUUAAGGGAAGUCUAAGGGAAUAGAGAAGCUUCAAGAGAAGCGUGAGAAGAGAAA